rnacentral:misc_RNA from 1 species
AUCAGAGAGUAAAAGAUGUUUGCAGAAAAUAUUAGGAAGCAGAGAGUGGAGAAAAACAAAAAGAAAAGUGAAUUUGUUUUAGGGACAGAGAAAGUGGUGGAAACAAAUCCUUUCACUAAAGUUGUGGUGAUGACGGCAAAGUGAUGAUCAGAGCGACAAGACAGACUCCUUAAACGACGAGCCUUUACCUAGAUAGUAGAUAUUUAAUAUUCAUAUCUAGCUUAGCAAUGAAACGGAGAGCUCAACAGGUACGGUAGGCGAUAAUUAAGAAUUUAUAAACAAGCAGAGACAUUUGGCAAAAAUCCCACCCGAGGUGUCCCUUGCAACA